ACUCAAAUGAAUAGACGGGGGCCCGCACAAGCGGCGGAGCAUGUGGCUUAAUUCGAUGCAACGCGAAGAACCUUACCUAGGCUUGACAUGCUAGUUAAAGCCUGUGAAAGCAGGUGUCCGUAAGGGGCUAGCACAGGUGCUGCAUGGCUGUCGUCAGCUCGUGCCGUGAGGUGUUGGCUUAAGUGCCGCAACGAGCGCAACCCCUGCUCUUAGUUGCCAGCGAGUUAUGUCGGGGACUCUAAGAGGACUGCCGGGGACAACUCGGAGGAAGGUGGGGAUGACGUCAAGUCAGCAUGGCCCUUAUGUCUAGGGCUGCACACAUGCUACAUUGCGCGCCACAGAGGGCAGCGAUCCCGCGAGGGGGAGCGAAUCCCAAAAAAGCGCGCCUGGUUCGGAUUGGGGUCUGCAACUCGACCCCAUGAAGUCGGAGUCGCUAGUAAUCGCAGAUCAGCAACGCUGCGGUGAAUACGUUCCCGGGCCUUGUACACACCGCCCGU
rnacentral:rRNA from 1 species